UACAGAGGUCUCAAGCGUUGUUCGGAUUCAUUGGGCGUAAAGGGUGCGUAGGCGGCGCGGUAAGUCGGGUGUGAAAUCUUGGAGCUUAACUCCGAAACUGCAUUCGAUACUGCCGUGCUUGAGGACUGGAGAGGAGACUGGAAUUUACGGUGUAGCGGUGAAAUGCGUAGAUAUUGGGAAGAACACCGGUGGCGAAGGCGACAUCCUGGACCAAUACUGACGCUGAGGAGCGAAAGCCAGGGGAGCAAACGGG
rnacentral:rRNA from 1 species